CUCAGAGUCUUUACCUUGCUUCCUUGAGCUUCUGGCAAAAAUAUCUCUAAUGAGACAGGAAGGGGUAUUUUUUAUAUACACCUUUCUGUCUCAUUAGAGAUAUUUUUGCCAGAAGCUCAAGGAAGCAAGGUAAAGGCUCUGAGU